rnacentral:rRNA from 1 species
ACCUCUUCCCAUUCCGAACAGAGAAGUUAAGCCUUUCAGCGCCGAUGGUACUGCUAUUGCGGGAGAGUAGGUCGUCGCCAGUC